rnacentral:rRNA from 1 species
GGCCAGCAGCCGCGGUAAUACGAAGGUGGCAAGCGUUACUCGGAAUUACUAGGCGUAAAGGGCAGGUAGGUGGUUUGGUAAGUCUGUCGUUAAAACUUUCGGCUCAACCGAGAGAGGUCGAUGGAUACUGCCAGGCUUGAGUAUGGGAGAGGGUACUGGAAUUCCCGGUGUAGCGGUGAAAUGCGCAGAGAUCGGGAGGAACACCAAUGGCGAAAGCAGGUACCUGGACCAUUGCUGACACUCAGCUGCGAAAGCUAGGGGAGCAAACAGGAUUAGAUACCCUGGUAGUCCUAGCUGUAAACGAUGCACAUUAGGCGUGGGGGGUAUCGACCCCCUCCGUGCCGACGCAAACGCAUUAAAUGUGCCGCCUGGGGAGUACGGCCGCAAGGUUGAAACUCAAAGGAAUUGACGGGGGCCCGCACAAGU